rnacentral:rRNA from 1 species
UACAGAGGUCUCAAGCGUUGUUCGGAAUUACUGGGCGUAAAGGGUGCGCAGGCCGCGCGGGCAGUCAAAUGUGUAAUCCAGGGGCUCAACCCCUGAACUGCGCUUGAUACUUCCGCGCUCGAGCUUUGGAGAGGAGUCUGGAAUUCUCGGUGUAGCAGUGAAAUGCGUAGAUAUCGUGAGGAAGACCAGUGGCGAAGGCGGGUCUCUGGACAGUUCCUGACACUGAGGCACGAAGGCUAGGGGAGCAAACGGG